rnacentral:rRNA from 1 species
AACUUUCAGCAACGGAUCUCUUGGCUCUCGCAUCGAUGAAGAACGUAGCGAAUUGCGAUAUGUAAUGUGAAUUGCAGAUUUUCAGUGAAUCAUCGAAUCUUUGAACGCACCUUGCGCUCCUUGGUAUUCCGAGGAGCAUGCCUGUUUGAGUGUCA